AAAGUUUGUUGCUUGAGGUCCCUGUGUAUCUGAGGUCUUCCAAAGUGCAUCGGGACAGCCUUCAGACAGCUUUGGAAGACUCCAGUCUCAAAGGGAAGAGGCACCCAGUUGUCCAGCAUCACUGAAAGCCAAUGCUGCCUUCCAAGCUCAGUGUAAGGACAAGACCAAUAAACUACAGUAGUUUGUCACUGGAUUUAUAUAUGAUAGGUGAGUCUGCGGGCACUAUCUGAGCAUGAUUUAUGCUUGAAGUUUUGUAUGCUGUCAGGUAAAAUAGAUGCAGUGGUGAUGAUGGAACCAUGUUGACUUCAAUUGAAAAGUAUGAUUCUCCCUCAUAAAUAGCGUUAUGAUCUUAGUCAGCAGUAGGGCUAUUUAGGAGGACCCGGUUGCAAAUGUUGACAUUGAGGAAAACAUCUUGGCAGUGGCGCAGGUGUUCAAGUGUUUUUAAGAAGAGGACAAGUCAAAAACAGCCUUGCAGACAGGAUGCCCAGUAACUGUUCCCCAUUGUUCUGUGAGAAGCAGCCUGCUUAGGUGCCUAACUUCAGGAUGGAUCUCAUAGAUGUAGGCCGUUAAUAUGGAGAGGAACUUAAGUCUAUAAGAAGGAUAUGGACUGAGCCUUUGCAUGUUCUACUUGCUGUAUGAUAACUACCUUUUUGUUCCAUAGGUGUUCUUACUAGAUCUGAUUUUAUUUUCUUUGUGAUCACGUAACCGUUAUCACACUGUAUGGAAAACUGGGAUUCCCUAUGUUCCUUUUGAUGGCAGAAUACCCCAAGGUUUUUGCAGAUGGACAUUCUAAGAGUUCUGUUUGAAUACCAGGACAUCAAUAGCAACCUGAUGAUAGUUGACAUGAACUGAAAAAUGAGAAACAUAGGAUAUUUAUCCAUUUAAUAUCAUGAAGUCUGGUACUGACUCUGCCUAACCUAGAUCAAACAGACAGUGCAGUCUGUCAUCUGCGAUCAAUUUAUCAGUUUUCACAGCCUAGGUCUAGGUGCUUAAUAAUCCAAGUUAACUAACAAACUAAAAGAUUGUUUCAGAGAUACUAAAUAGAGGUCUAUGUUUAGAUAUAGAAUUUUGAUGAGCAAAUUCCAGAAGGGAACAAAAAUGCAAGACAUAGCUAAGCAAGUUAUAUAAUGAAAAAAUAGAGUAGCAUUUCUGUAUUCUGUGAUAAUGAUGUUUAUAACACACAUUGUAAACAACUGUGACUGAAGUCAGGAAUGGCCACAUGGCAUUCAAUAUGAAAAAAUAUAUUGGUAACUAUAUCGUGUAUUUUAUGGUAAGGCAUACAUGUCACAGUUUUCUGUGCUUAAGGAUAGAGCCAUCUAUUUGGAACAUAAGUUGUUAAAGAUACAGUGCAACAAGCUAAUGAAGUGAACAGCUAGAUAAAAUGAAUGAAAAUAAUUAGAAUUUGGUAAUUAGCAAUGAUUAAAAGCUGAAUUUGAGCUCAGGUGGCUAAUUAACAAAAAGUGAAUUUUGUAUUUACUUACAUAAUGUAGAUCUAUAUAAAAUAUAUAAUGUAGUAUAAAUAACAUAAAAUACGUUUUAUAUUACAUACAUAAAAUAAAGGGUAUUGUAUGUUUUAUUCAUGAUCAUUUGCUGGCAACCAUAAAGCUAGUCAUGGCAAAAAUGAAAUGCGAAUACAGACAAGUAAGGAGAGAUGAAAAUGACUGAAUAUGGCAGAAUAAGAGAAAGUGGACCACUGAGGAAGUUGCAGAAGAGCUAAUAAAAGAAAAGAAGGAGCAGUGACCAAGGUGGCAAAAGCCAGCAGCUAUUAGCAAAUGUGGUCUGUAACUGAGGGGAGUUCUUCUGUGUGGUGAGCCCCAUGGAUGCCUGUUGGCCUUAUGAACCCCUGGCAAGGGUCCUGAGAGAGUUGUGUUGGCAUGGGAAAACCAGGCCAAAACCCAAACCUUUGCAGUGGAAAGAUAGCACAAUUCCACCAGGGGUUUUUUGGAUGUCUCAAGGAGAUGAAACAGAUCUUUACAUUUUGUAAAUGAAUUUGCUGCAAUUGUCAGGGCGAAGUAACAAGUAAGAGGAGAGGAAACUCAUGAUGGGUGAGGGCUCAUUGAAUGAACAUACACAGACGUGACCAAGCCAUUUGUAAGAACUCUGAUUUUGUGUUGUAUCUUAUGCUGCAUCUUUUUUAAUGGAGAAUGUGUAUCACCAGGGUGGUGAGAGUGGGAAGCCGGCAUCUUCUCUUCUGCCCUUACAAAGAGGG
rnacentral:lncRNA from 7 species